GACGAACGCUGGCGGCGUGCUUAACACAUGCAAGUCGAACGGUGAAGCGCCUUCCUUUUUGGUGGGUGUGGAUGAGUGGCGAACGGGUGAGUAACACGUGAGUAACCUGCCCCCUUCUUCUGGAUAACCGCAUGAAAGUGUGGCUAAUACGGGAUAUUCUGGGUCUGUCGCAUGAUGGGUCUGGGAAAGAUAUUGUUUCGGUGGGGGAUGGGCUCGCGGCCUAUCAGCUUGUUGGUGGGGUGAUGGCCUACCAAGGCGGUGACGGGUAGCCGGCCUGAGAGGGUGGACGGUCACACUGGGACUGAGACACGGGCCAGACUCCUACGGGAGGCAGCAGUGGGGAAUAUUGCACAAUGGGCGCAAGCCUGAUGCAGCGACGCCGCGUGAGGGAUGGAGGCCUUCGGGUUGUGAACCUCUUUCGCCAGUGAAGCAGGCCUGCCUCGUUUGUGGGUGGGUUGACGGUAGCUGGAUAGGAAGCGCCGGCUAACUACGUG
rnacentral:rRNA from 1 species